CCGGGGGCGGGGCGGUGGGGCCGGGGCUCCCGGAGUCAGCUCGAGGGCAGGAAGUGGCCCGCUGCUCCGCUCCGAGGGUGUUUCCGGAGCGCCUACUGUGUGCGCCUCGUGCAGGGGCGGGCCCGGGACACAAAGGGUGCCAGCCUCCGGACCUGUCCCUUAGGGUCGCGGAGGAGGCCACUUCGGGGAAAACACCAAGCCUACCUAGGUCCUAGCCACGGGCUGGUGUCAAAACUCCCAAGUUCAAGGAUUUUCCUGCUUCAGAUUCCGAAGUAGUGCUACACAUCUGAAUCACUGUGCCUGAAUCACUGCACUCCUAAAUCACUGUGCCUGAACAAGGAUCCUUGUGUCUGCGUGUGUCCUUGCUGGCGAGACGAUCAAGCGGCUUCCAACAUCUGGUGCUGAAAGCCAGGAAACAGGGAGCCUGCCACCGCCGGUGCUGCGGAGGAGAGCCCCCGUUCACGGGGAAGGAUUCAGAACUGCAACAUUGAGGAAGAAAACAAUCCAUUCUGGGUACCGGAGCGCCUCACGCGAAAGCUCAUGACAGCUGAAGAUGAUCUUUCAACAAAUACACCUGCUACUACUCGAAGAAUUAAGGGCUGCGAGGGUGACCACUAAUUCUACUCGAGUGGAUUCAUCGCUCACGGAUGGCUUAUUCUGGGUUUCUCCUGCCUUUUCUUAUUUUAAGAUUGAGUGGGGGUUGGAAUGUUUGGUGCAGCACUAUGUUGUGGCUUAGUGUUUUUACUCUGGUUGUUCUGCAAACUCAAUACCCAACACAAACGUGACUAAGUCGCGAUCGCGCAAGCACUUGUGGCCUUGGAACAAGGAUCAUCUCCCAAAAUUUGGUUAUCCAUGUUAAAAAGUUAAAACAGACUGUGACACUCAGUCGAUGCACCUCAGGGGUUUUACCCAUUGCACUGAGUCGAUGAGUGAUCCAAGUCAAUGUUGCCUUUGCCUAAGCGGCUAUAGUACCUAGAUAGGAUGACAGCCCUUGCACUCCCUGGAAUUUUAUUCCAUUGCACGGGAAUGGGUGUCACCUCCAUUUUUAAUCUUCUCCCUUAGCCCCUGCACCCAGAGGACUUGUCUCCAUUGCACCUGGUGGGGUAAGGGAGUAAUCUAAAGCUCUUGAUCGCUUACUCCCCAAAGAAGGAGUUCGCUUGAUCGAGCUUAGGGCUCUCUUGUGCCGCGCUUACAAGGCUUUAAGGCAGUUUUCAUUUAUUAAAAUAAAAGGGGGAGAUGUGGAGAGCUGAGACUCAGACGCCACUAGAUGGCAUUGACAUUCCGCCCUCAAAACUGUAAACAACCUCCAGAACGCAUGCGCGGGUUGCGUAAGCACGCCAAGCCCGCAUCAUCAGACAGGGUAAAGAGUGAGCAGCCAAUCAGGGUAUUGACACGUCACUUAGGUGCGACCAGGGCUUAUAUAAACAGCGCCACAUCGGGGCUCACUCUCUCCUCCUUUCAUCGCUUAACUGUAAUAAAAGGCCUGUUGCAGAAGGA